GCCAAUAUAGCUCAGUUGGUAGAGCAACGGAUUCGUAACCCGUAGGUCGGCAGUUCGAUUCUGCCUAUUGGCCCCA
rnacentral:tRNA from 1 species